GUGGUGGUAGCAGUGGUAGUGGUAGCGGUAGUGGUGGUAGUAGCAGUAGUAGUAGUAGUAGUAGUAGCAGUAGUAGUAGUAGUAGUAGUAGUAGUAGUAGUAGUAGUAGUAGUAGUAGCAGUAGCAGCAGCAGCAGUAGCAGCAGGAGCAGUAGCAGUGCAACCAUUUUUUUAAAAGAAAGUUACUACAAUGUAAUGUCUAAGCGUUACUCAUGUGAAUGCUCUCAUUAAAACACAACAAUACUUACUGAAACAUCUCCUAUUCUAAACUCCCUUUACCCAGUAGGUAUUAACUAGGGAAUGACCAGUAGGUAUUAACUAGGGAAUGACCAGUAGGUAUUAACUAGGGAACCUUUACCCAGUAGGUAUUAACUAGGGAAUGACCAGUAGGUAUUAACUAGGGAAUGACCAGUAGGUAUUAACUAGGGAACCUUUACCCAGUAGGUAUUAACUAGGGAAUGACCAGUAGGUAUUAACUAGGUGAAUGACCAGUAGGUAUUAACUAGGGAAUGACCAGUAGGUAUUAACUAGGGAAUGACCAGUAGGUAUUAACUAGGGAAUGACCAGUAGGUAUUAACUAGGGAAUGACCAGUAGGUAUUAACUAGGGAACCUUUACCCAGUAGGUAUUAACUAGGGAAUGACCAGUAGGUAUUAACUAGGGAAUGACCAGUAGGUAUUAACUAGGGAACCUUUACCCAGUAGGUAUUAACUAGGGAAUGACCAGUAGGUAUUAACUAGGGAAUGACCAGUAGGUAUUAACUAGGGAAUGACCAGUAGGUAUUAACUAGGGAAUGACCAGUAGGUAUUAACUAGGGAAUGACCAGUAGGUAUUAACUAAGGAAUGACCAGUAGGUAUUAACUAGGGAAUGACUAGUAUGUAUGACAGGAAUAUGUUUCUACAGACACUGCCUUCUUUGUCAGCUGAGACUAAGAACAGCUAAGACUGCAGUAACAUGUUGAAUAGCUAAGGCUGCAGUAACAUGUUGAACAGCUAAGACUGCAGUAACAUGUUGAUCAACUA
rnacentral:lncRNA from 1 species